GUAAAUAAUAAAGGGCGUAUGGUGGAUGCCUUGGCUCUCGGAGGCGAUGAAGGACGUGAUAAGCUGCGAAAAGCUCCGUUUAGGUGCAAAUAACCUUUGAUGCGGAGAUCUCCGAAUGGGAUAACCCAAUAUGUUGAAGACAUAUUAUACCGUAAGGUAGGCAAACGCAGGGAACUGAAACAUCUAAGUACCUGCAGGAGAAGAAAACAAACGUGAUUCCCCCAUUAGCGGCGAGCGCCCGGGGAAAAGCCCAAACCGUUAUUGUUUCGGCAUUAACGGGGUAGUAGGACUGCAAGCUUGAUGAAAUAAAUGAAAUGGAACACCUUGGAAAAUGUGAUCACAGAGGGUGAUAAUCCCGUACAUGCAAGUUUAUGAAUCAUAGCAGACUCCUGAGUAAGUCGGGACACGUGUAAUCCUGACCGAAUCCGCCGGGACCAUCCGGCAAGGCUAAAUACUCCUGAGAGACCGAUAGUGAACCAGUACCGUGAGGGAAAGGUGAAAAGCACUUCGAACAGAAGAGUGAAAUAGUCCCUGAACCCAUACGCCUACAAGCAGUCGGAGCCGCUUCGUGCGGUGACGGCGUGCCUUUUGCAUAAUGAGCCUACGAGUUACUCAUCACCAGCGAGGUUAAGUACUUCAGGUACGUAAGCCGAAGCGAAAGCGAGUCUGAAUAGGGCGUCAAGUUGGUGGUGGUAGACGCGAAACCUUAGUGAUCUACCCAUGGGCAGGGUGAAGGUUUGGUAACACAAACUGGAGGCCCGAACCGGUAAACGUUGAAAAGUUUUCGGAUGACCUGUGGGUAGGGGUGAAAGGCCAAUCAAACUGGGAAAUAGCUCGUACUCUCCGAAAUGCAUUUAGGUGCAGCCUCUGUUGUUUUGUUCUAGAGGUAGAGCUACUGAUUGGAUGCGAGGGCUUCACCGCCUAUCAAAUCCGGCCAAACUCCGAAUGCUAGAACAUGAAGACAGGGAGUGAGCCAGCGGGUGCUAAGGUCCGUUGACGAAAGAGGGAGAACUCAGACCAUCAGCUAAGGUCCCCAAUUAUAUGCUAAGUUGGAAUAAAAACGGGGUGGGACUGCUUAGACAGCUAGGAUGUUGGCUUGGAAGCAGCCAUUCAUUUAAAGAGUGCGUAACAGCUCACUAGUCGAGCGGUCCUGCAUGGAUAAUACGCGGGCAUAAGCAUAUAACCGAAGCUAUGGGAUUGUAGAUGAUACAAUCGGUAGGAGAGCAUUCCAUUCAGCAUAGAAGCAGUACCGUGAGGUAUUGUGGAGCGGAUGGAAAAGCAAAUGUAGGCAUAAGUAACGAUAAUGCGGGUGAGAACCCCGCACGCCGAAAGAUCAAGGAUUCCCCGGCAAUGUCAAUCAUCCGGGGGUAAGUCGGAUCCUAAGGGUAAGCCGAGUGGCGAUCCCGAUGGUAAACAGGUUAAUAUUCCUGUACUGAUCAUAACUGCGAUGCAGCGACGCAGAGGUGACACUGCUGCGUACUGACGGAAUAGUACGUUGAAACCCGUAUUCUUUGAUACCGGUAGUGAAGCACGCCGGUAGAGAUGAAAGGUGAUAGUACCGCAAUGCUUCGGUUGCGCGGAUAAUGCAGGUAAGCUGACUGCCAAGAAAACCUGCUAAGCUUCAGGUAAUGAUCAUCCGUACUGUAAACGGACACACGUGAUCAGGUAGAAAAUACUAAGGCGCUCGAGAGAUUCAUGGUUAAGGAACUAGGCAAAAUGGUCCUGUAACUUCGGGAUAAAGGACGCUCUUGUGAAAGAGCCGCAGAUAAUAGGCCCAGGCGACUGUUUACCAAAAACACAUGGCUAUGCUAAUUCGCAAGAAGAUGUAUAUGGCCUGACACCUGCCCGGUGCCGGAAGGUUAAGAGGAGAGCUCAGAGGUAACUCGAAGGUUUGAAUUGAAGCCCCGGUAAACGGCGGCCGUAACUAUAACGGUCCUAAGGUAGCGAAAUUCCUUGUCGGGUAAGUUCCG
rnacentral:rRNA from 1 species